AUGUACCACGCGUCCACUGCGGUUGUGAGCGCGCCGUCCGCACCCACCUGACGACUGCGCGCUAGGUUUUGUUCGCC
rnacentral:sRNA from 2 species